GACGAACGCUGGCGGCGUGCCUAAUACAUGCAAGUAGAACGCUGAAGGAGGAGCUUGCUUCUCCGGAUGAGUUGCGAACGGGUGAGUAACGCGUAGGUAACCUGCCUGGUAGCGGGGGAUAACUAUUGGAAACGAUAGCUAAUACCGCAUAAGAGUAGAUGUUGCAUGACAUUUGCUUAAAAGGUGCAAUUGCAUCACUACCAGAUGGGCCUGCGUUGUAUUAGCUAGUUGGUGGGGUAACGGCUUACCAAGGCGACGAUACAUAGCCGACCUGAGAGGGUGAUCGGCCACACUGGGACUGAGACACGGCCCAGACUCCUACGGGAGGCAGCAGUAGGGAAUCUUCGGCAAUGGACGGAAGUCUGACCGAGCAACGCCGCGUGAGUGAAGAAGGUUUUCGGAUCGUAAAGCUCUGUUGUAAGAGAAGAACGAGUGUGAGAGUGGAAAGUUCACACUGUGACGGUAUCUUACCAGAAAGGGACGGCUAACUACGU
rnacentral:rRNA from 1 species